rnacentral:rRNA from 1 species
CGUAUAUUAAAGUUGUUGCAGUUAAAAAGCUCGUAGUUGGAUUUUUGGUGUCCAUUUUGGUCCUGGCAUUGUCUGGGUACUGUAUGUGGGCGUCAUCCUUGGGUGGAAGCAGUGUGGCAUUAGGUUGUCGUGUUGCGGAUGCCCAUCGUUUACUGUGAAAAAAUCAGCGCGUUCAAAGCAGGCUUAUGCCGUUGAAUGUAUUAGCAUGGAAUAAUAAGAUAGGACCUUGGUACUAUUUUGUUGGUUUGCGCACCGAGGUAAUGAUUAAUAGGGACAGUUGGGGG